rnacentral:rRNA from 1 species
CCUACGGGUGGCAGCAGUCGAGAAUCAUUCACAAUGGGGGAAACCCUGAUGGUGCGACGCCGCGUGGGGGAAUGAAGGUCUUCGGAUUGUAAACCCCUGUCAUGUGGGAGCAAAUUAAAAAGAUAGUACCACAAGAGGAAGAGACGGCUAACUCUGUUCCAGCAGCCGCGGUAAUCCAGAGGUCUCAAGCGUUGUUCGGAAUCACUGGGCGUAAAGCGUGCGUAGGCUGUUUCGUAAGUCGUGUGUGAAGGGAGCGGGCGCAACCCUCGGACGGCACAUGAGACUGCGAGACUAGAGUAAUGGAGGGGGAACCGGAAUUCGCGGUGUAGCAGUGAAAUGCGUAGAUAUCGAGAGGAACACUCGUGGCGAAGGCGGGUUCCUGGACUUUAACUGACGCUGAGGCACGAAGGCCAGGGGAGCGAAAGGGAUUAGAUACCCUAGUAGUC